CUUAACUGGCUGAGGGCAAAGGCAAUAAUUCUGCUUUAACUCUCAAGACUGAAUAUAGUAUGGCAAAAUCCUGUGAUUUGUUGUGGGGAAGUGAGCAGUGCAGAGGUUUCUGGAAAGCUAGGUGCACAUCCACAUAUCACAGUAGUUCUUUCUACCAGAGACUGAUUCCUUAUUUUAUUGAUCCUCUGGUGAAAUUCGGCUGGCUCCUGGUGCGUUUUGGCAGAAGUACUUGUAUAGAAAAGGCAACCAGAGAAACUUCCAGUUCUUGGUCUUCAACUACCUUCUCAUUUGUGGCAGCA
rnacentral:lncRNA from 1 species